GAGACAUCCUCUCUGACUCUAUAGAAAAAAGCCUCAUGUUUUUACUCCCCAACCCUCUAGGAGAACCCUCCCUCACAUUUUCGUCUGACACCACUCCGACGUUCUUCUCCCUGCCUCUUGUGUUUCACUCCCCCUGCCUCUUGUAUUUCACUCCCUGCUAUGACACCAGCCGAAGCUGCGGCCCAUCAUUCAGAACAUAGAAUUUCGGUGAGCUUCACUCCCUCACGUUUUCGAAGCUUAGACAAUCACUGGAAAGACAAAGGUGCUAUUGAAUUUCGGCUGUGUCCGGGGAUUUUUUCUGAUCCUUUGUUGUAUGUGGCUGCUCUAUGCUUUGCUGCCAGCUGCUGCUAUAUCUAUUCCUUGCUGCUGUGGCCUUUAUGCUAUUUGCUAAGUUGUCUGGCAGCAUAUUACUAUACUAUCUGUCUGCGUGCUGCUGUGCUGCGAUAUGUGCUAUGUUUGCUAUUGUUGUGGAGUCUAAGAUGCUCAGGUGUUUAAUCGUCUUUGGCUGUUGCUAAUGUGUUGCUGCCUAGGAUACUUACUGCCACUGUUUUGUGUAGUUGCUGGUGGUAUUUUACUGUUCAAGACCUGUAUCCUCUGUGGACAUGGCUCUCAAACAAAUAUAUUGAUGCCGGUGAAGUUUUUGGUAUAUUAUGAUCUAUUAUUAUGUGGUGGUGUAGUCUCGUUAGCGGUUUGCUUUUUUGGCGUAGUUUUCUUGUAGAUUUGGUUUAGCUCUGGUAGCAUUGUAUAGUUGUGGUAGGGCCUGGGGCAUGCCCCUUGUAAAUCUGUAAAUUUUCUAAUUUUAAUUUAUGACUUAU